rnacentral:rRNA from 1 species
GAUGAACGCUGGCGGCGUGCCUAAUACAUGCAAGUCGAGCGAACGGACGAGAAGCUUGCUUCUCUGAUGUUAGCGGCGGACGGGUGAGUAACACGUGGAUAACCUACCUAUAAGACUGGGAUAACUUCGGGAAACCGGAGCUAAUACCGUAUAAUAUUUUGAACCGCAUGGUUCAAAAGUGAAAGACGGUCUUGCUGUCACUUAUAGAUGGAUCCGCGCUGCAUUAGCUAGUUGGUAAGGUAACGGCUUACCAAGGCAACGAUGCAUAGCCGACCUGAGAGGGUGAUCGGCCACACUGGAACUGAGACACGGUCCAGAGUCCUACGGGAGGCAGCAGUAGGGAAUCUUCCGCAAUGGGCGAAAGCCUGGCGGAGCAACGCCGCGUGAGUGAUGAAGGUCUUCGGAUCGUAAAACUCUGUUAUUAGGGAAGAACAUAUGUGUAAGUAACUGUGCACAUCUUGACGGUACCUAAUCAGAAAGCCACGGCUAACUACGUG